rnacentral:sRNA from 1 species
AUGAAGGAAUGUUAGACUAAAACCGUCACGUCGUGUGACAACAUCUAACUGACCCACAUCUUGUGGG